AACUUUUGUAAGUGUGACUAGCUCACACUGUAUUUCGCAAUGAUAAAUAUGUGCUUCAACUUACUUUUAAUAUAGGUCAAGCAUAAUAAAAAAAAAAUUUAAGGUGUGGAAAGAAAAAAACCCCUGCAACUGGGUGUAGUUCUUAUGAUAAUAGGUUAAGAUCCAGGAAAUGCAACUGUCUUUUCACAUGCCUCUUUUUCCCUUCGUGAAUCAAACCAGAAGAGUGAAUAAACAGCUGGUGAAUUCAGUAUGAAGAAGGUCAACUUCACCACCAGUGAGCAAGCUGUAAAGACUUCAAGAAGUCCUUUACACCAUACAAUGUCCUGAAGCCUGAUGUGAUUCAAUAAUUUCCAACGGAAUGCUGGAAAUUUCUGAAAAGAGGAUCUCGCCCCAUCUAAACUUCUCUUACCAUGGCUCUCAGGCUCCAAGUUAUUCACAAUAGAAGAAAUUUCUCAGACCUUCCCAUAGAAAGUUGCUGCUGUUCCAAACUCUGGUCCUUCUAAAAUUGGGGAUGAGGAACAAAAUCUUCAAAGAAGAAAUCACACCUUCAUUCAGUGGCCUCAGCUACACCUUCGGAGCAGCUUCUUUGUUUACUUUUAUCUUUACAAAACCAUUUUCAAUGAUCCACCC